UUGGAGGGCAAGUCUGGUGCCAGCAGCCGCGGUAAUUCCAGCUCCAAUGGCGUAUAUUAAAGUUGUUGCAGUUAAAAAGCUCGUAGUUGAAUUUCGGGAUCAGAGUGUCGGUCGUGCCUCGGUACGCACUGGUAUUAUUGGUUCCUACCUUCUGAAGAACCGCGAUGUCAUUAAUUUGGUGUCGUGGGGAAUCAGGACUGUUACUUUGAAAAAAUUAGAGUGUUUAAAGCAGGCUUACGCUUGAAUACAUUAGCAUGGAAUAAUGGAAUAGGACGUUUGAUUCUAUUUUGUUGGUUUCUAGGAUUGACGUAAUGAUUAAUAGGGAUAGUUGGGGGCAUUAGUAUUCAAUUGUCAGAGGUGAAAUUCUUGGAUUUAUUGAAGACUAACUACUGCGAAAGCAUUUGCCAAGGAUGUUUUCAUUAAUCAAGAACGAAAGUUAGGGGACCGAAGACGAUCAGAUACCGUCGUAGUCUUAACCAUAAACUAUGCCGACUAGGGAUCGGAUGAUGUUAAUUUUUUAAUGUCACAUUCGGCGCCUUGCGGGAAACCAAAGUGUUUGGGUUC
rnacentral:rRNA from 1 species